rnacentral:rRNA from 1 species
ACCUCUGGUGCACCAGUUGUCACGCCAGUGGCACAGCUGGGUAGCUAUGUUGGGACUGGAUAAACGCUGAAAGCAUCUAAGCGUGAAGCCAACCUCAAGAUGAGAUUUCCCAUAGCGUAAGCUAGUAAGACUCCUGGAAGAACACCAGGUUGAUAGGUCAGAGAUGUAAGCAUGGCAACAUGUUAAGUUGACUGAUACUAAUAAGUCGAGGGCUUGACCAAAUAA